GCGCCGGCGCAGGCGCAGAGAGACACAACGACGUCUACUUUGUUCCUUGGGUUACACAUUUCCUGAGAGUAUCUACAUAUUCAUAGGCAACACCGAUGUGAAUGUGACAGAUUAGCUCCAGAAAGAAAGCAGUGUGAAAAAGAUGAAACACAGAUUUGAAAGCAAUCUUGAAGAUCAGACAGAAAACCAGCCUAUGAAUCAAAGAAGAAAAUCAAAAUCAGACUUCAUAACUGCUUCAGUAACCCUUGGCAACAGACAACACACUGGAUUUUGGCGAAUAACACUAAAAUUUUUGCUGGUGAGGUCUUCAGAAACUGGAUAGAUGUGAAACCACCAGAACAGAAGUGGAGCGGGCAUGGUAUCUGUUUCUUCAAUUUGUAGUUUUAUAGUCAAAAACUGGCAUGUAUAUACUUAAUUGGUAACAUGUAAGUCACGUGCCUCUAUCCCAACUCUAAGAGAGGUUGAGAACUUAAUUUCUGGCUUCUACCUUGGGAAGGAUCAGGCUUAUAAGCUGGAAAAUUAGCCAACAUACACAGGAUAUUCAAAGCUUCUAGGCAGUCAAAAUACUGUCAAGUGGUAAAACAGACAUGAAAAAACCUUUUUUUCUCUCCUAAAUUUAAAAAAAUAUAAUUUUUGUAAAACACUGUAUGUGGCUUUCCAUAAAAUUAAAAGAGUCUUGGGAGAGAGAACAUCUCA